rnacentral:rRNA from 1 species
AAAUUGAAGAGUUUGAUCAUGGCUCAGAUUGAACGCUGGCGGCAGGCCUAACACAUGCAAGUCGAACGGUAACAGGAAGCAGCUUGCUGCUUUGCUGACGAGUGGCGGACGGGUGAGUAAUGUCUGGGAAACUGCCUGAUGGAGGGGGAUAACUACUGGAAACGGUGGCUAAUACCGCAUAACGUCGCAAGACCAAAGAGGGGGACCUUCGGGCCUCUUGCCAUCAGAUGUGCCCAGAUGGGAUUAGCUUGUUGGUGAGGUAACGGCUCACCAAGGCGACGAUCCCUAGCUGGUCUGAGAGGAUGACCAGCCACACUGGAACUGAGACACGGUCCAGACUCCUACGGGAGGCAGCAGUGGGGAAUAUUGCACAAUGGGCGCAAGCCUGAUGCAGCCAUGCCGCGUGUAUGAAGAAGGCCUUCGGGUUGUAAAGUACUUUCAGCGGG